rnacentral:rRNA from 1 species
UACGUAUGGUGCAAGCGUUAUCCGGAAUCACUGGGUGUAAAGGGUGAGUAGGCGGCAUGGUAAGCCAGAUGUGAAAGCCUUGGGCUUAACCCGAGGAUUGCAUUUGGAACUAUCAAGCUAGAGUACAGGAGAGGAAAGCGGAAUUCCUAGUGUAGCGGUGAAAUGUGUAGAUAUUAGGAAGAACACCAGUGGCGAAGGCGGCUUUCUGGACUGAAACUGACACUGAGGCACGAAAGCGUGGGGAGCGAACAGG